rnacentral:lncRNA from 1 species
UUUGUUUAACAGUGUACUACAAUGCUAGCACAUUUCAAACUUUAACAAAGUUACAAUGCACAGGACAAACAUAUGUUUCUCCAAGGUAUCAAAGUCAGAGACCUCCGUGGCAGUACAGAACCGAAUGCUACCUUUACAACCAAAGUGUUAUUCCCCAAUGUGACAAAUUAGGUACACAGGGAAAAAAGCACUCGUUUGCUCAACAUAGUGUUAGUAAUAUAGCAUGGCUAUAAUAUUUGGAACAAAGCAGCACUGUCACAUUAGAGUGAAUAUUUCUUUCUUUCAUUGCCUAAAAUAACCGAAGAUUUGUUUCCUCUCCCCCAAAAUUCAUAUAAAUGCAUGCAGGACCACCUGAUGAUGCCUAAGCUGGAGCUGCUUUUUGGUAUUUCGUUGCUAGAUCUUUAGUUUGGUUCUUCUUUCUUAGCUUUGUAGGCUUGCUUCUUUGCUUUAUUAGUUCUGUCAGUUUGUAGGUUUUUGGCUCUUGGUUCUUCUUGUUAUACUUUCGCCAUCGUGUCGUUCUCCUAUGGCUGCGGGCAUCCAUCGAUGCAGAGACCCAGGGUGAUACCUGCUUUUCGAUAAAGAAACCAUGGCAUUUUGCUUUAGUACUCAGAAAUUCUUUUACGACACACAUUUAGAUGCAUAUUCCAGAAAUAAGAUCACAUGAGACUCAAUUAUGUACAAAAUUCCAAUAGUGUUGGAUAUCAUACCUCUGAAAACACAACUGCUCUCGGAAAACCUAAAGGGCCAGGAGCUCCGCAAUUCAUUAAGCAGAAAAUAAUUGAUCCAGUUUAUACAGAAAACAGGAUCGAAAACCUCACGGAAGGCCCCUUUUAUAAGGAAAACCGGGCCUACGGGCAAUGAAA